AUGACCCUGGACCUGGACUCCAGCAACUGCAAAAAUACAUCACAAAUUUUAGCCACUGCCUUAAUGGAGUCCCUAAUCUGUAACUUUUGGCAGAGACUGUAUUUCCUCCGCAGUGUUUCAUAACUCAGAGUCUGCAUCUGCAAAAGACAUCUUUAAUUCCUCUAGCAGAUAAGUAAUCACUGCCUGAUUAUGAGGUGAAUAUAUUCUGUUGUGUGUCAAUAAUUACAUUUAAAAUUAUUACGCAAAAGCCCAUAAAUAGCAUGUAAGAAAAACAGCAGUCUUACCCAGUUUCUGGAUUGAAUUUAUGUGGGUUGUUUUCUGAGUUAUGGAGGCGCCUUACAGCUUCCUGUAACACAGAAUUUAAAAAGCUUUAAUACAUACACACAAACAUGCAUAUGAAAGAAAGAGUUUUCAAACAACAUCGCAUA
rnacentral:lncRNA from 1 species